GACGAACGCUGGCGGCGUGCUUAACACAUGCCAGUCGAACGGUGAAGCGCCUUCCUUUUUGGUGGGUGUGGAUGAGUGGCGAACGGGUGAGUAACACGUGAGUAACCUGCCCCCUUCUUCUGGAUAACCGCAUGAAAGUGUGGCUAAUACGGGAUAUUCUGUGUCUGUCGCAUGAUGGGUCUGGGAAAGAUAUUGUUUCGGUGGGGGAUGGGCUCGCGGCCUAUCAGCUUGUUGGUGGGGUGAUGGCCUACCAAGGCGGUGACGGGUAGCCGGCCUGAGAGGGUGGACGGUCACACUGGGACUGAGACACGGCCCAGACUCCUACGGGAGGCAGCAGUGGGGAAUAUUGCACAAUGGGCGCAAGCCUGAUGCAGCGACGCCGCGUGAGGGAUGGAGGCCUUCGGGUUGUGAACCUCUUUCGCCAGUGAAGCAGGCCUGCCUCGUUUGUGGGUGGGUUGACGGUAGCUGGAUAAGAAGCGCCGGCUAACUACGUG
rnacentral:rRNA from 1 species